AUACAAAUUAUAUAAAACAAUCAAUUGAUAAAUUUUACAUAAUUGUCAAAUGUUCUGUGCUAUCAUUCUCCAUCUACCAUUUUCGUCUACCAUUUUUCGUCUACCACUUUUCGUCUACCAUUUUCCGUCUACCAUUUUUCGUCUACCAUUUCUCCGUCCGCCAUAUCUCCGACAUCUUUACUCCGACAUCCAAUACUCCGACAUCCUCAAUCCGACAUCCAUAACUCCGACAUUCUUACUCCGACAUCCUUACUCCGACAUCCAUUACUCUGACAUCCAUAACUCCGACUUCCAUAACUCCGACAUCCUUACUCCGACAUCCUUACUCCGACAUCCAUAACUCCGUCAUCCUUACUCUAUCAUCCAUACUCCGACAUCCAUAACUCUGACAUCCUUACUCCAUCAUCCAUACUCCAACAUCCAUAACUGCGACAUCCUUACACCAUCAUCCAUACUCCGUCAUUUGUAUAUACAAUGUAUAAAGAACAGUU
rnacentral:lncRNA from 1 species